UACAGAGGUCCCAAGCGUUGUUCGGAUUCACUGGGCGUAAAGGGUGCGUAGGCGGUCGGGUAAGUCUGAUGUGAAAUCUCACAGCUUAACUGUGAAACUGCAUUGGAUACUAUUCGGCUUGAGAGUUGGAGGGGGGACUGGAAUUCUUGGUGUAGCAGUGAAAUGCGUAGAUAUCGUGAGGAACACCAGAGGCGAAGGCGGUUUCCUGGACAGUUACUGACGCUCAGGCACGAAAGCAUGGGGAGCAAAAGGG
rnacentral:rRNA from 1 species